rnacentral:ncRNA from 1 species
ACUAACGAGGAUUUCUCUAGUAACGGCGAGUGAACGGGGAAAAGCCCAGCGCUGAAUCCAGUGGCCACUGGUCGGUUGAAUUGUAGCGUACAGGUGCGGUUGUCCGUUUGUUCCGCGCACCCAAAGUCCCCUUGAGUGGGGCUAUGGUCCAAAGAAGGUGCUAGACCUAUACGGGUGGCGAGACGAUCGGUUGGUUGCUCCUUGGCAUCGGUUUGCGUGGGAUCGCAGCCCAAAGUUGGUGGUAGACCUCAUCUAAGGCU